rnacentral:rRNA from 1 species
UAAGACGAACCGUGCGAACGUUAUUCGGAUUCACUGGGCUUAAAGGGCGCGUAGGCGGCUCCGCGAGUCGGGGGUGAAAUCUUUCGGCCCAACCGGAAGAGGGCCUCCGAGACCGCGGGACUCGAGGGGGAUAGGGGUGCGCGGAACUUCCGGUGGAGCGGUGAAAUGCGUAGAUAUCGGAAGGAACGCCGGUGGCGAAAGCGGCGCACUGGAUCCCUACUGACGCUGAGGCGCGAAAGCCAGGGGAGCGAACGGG